UUUCACUGUUAUCUUUUGGCGUGUAGAAAAUGAAAAGAGAGGUGAACUUUCUCUUAUUCGUUCAACCAAACCAAAAACAGAAAGAUCAAAGAUGAUCAUCUUCUUUGCCAAGAUAGGAAGAAACAACUUCUAAUUUCCUCUCUGUGAAUUGUGGUAGCCAUUCAGCUAUUCGCUAUGGUAAGAUUUAUCCUUCAAACACUGCCGGGGGCUUCUUGGGCGGUAGUACUUACUGCCAUAGGAUCAGUGCUGCUUUCAUCUGUUUACCUGCUGCGUACCCUUUUCCUCGGGAGGAAGAAACCAUCACCGGUUGCUAGUUCUAUCCAUGUGGAUGAUGCAAAUCUGCAGCAGGAGUCCGCAGGUCCUGAGUUGGGGCAAGUGACAGCGCUGUCAUCUCGUUCCAGCUCAGCCCCGGCUGAUCCUGGACAAGAGUUUGAAGUUUUCUUGAGCUUCAGGGGAGAGGACAACCGCAAAACGUUCACCGACUGCCUAUACCACAGCCUGACAGAAGCAGGGAUCCGUGCCUUCAGGGACAAUGAAGAGCUCCAUGUUGGGGAGGAGAUCGGGACCAAACUCAUGAGAUCCAUUAAGCAGUCGAAGAUCUGCAUACCCAUUUUCUCUAAAGGUUAUGCUUCGAGCAAGUGGUGCCUUAAGGAGGUGACUGAGAUGGUGAAGUGCAUGAAGGAGGCUACUGAACAUCUGAUCAUGCCGAUCUUCCUAGAUGUCACGCCUGAUGAGGUCCAACACCAAACUGGAUGCUAUGCUGAAGCAUUCUGCAGGCAUGAGAAGAAGUAUGACCUGGAGACAGUGCAGGGGUGGAGGGAUGCCCUCAAAGAGAUUGUCAAAUUGAAGGGUCUGGAGCUCAGCGAAGUGGCAAACGGAAAUCAUGGAGAAUUCAUUAAGUUGGUGGUUGCAAGGGUUCUGAGAGAACUGAAGCAAGCCAACUUGAAUGUGAGUGAGAUCUUAGUUGGAAUCGACGAUCAUGUGGAAGAAGUUAUACAACUAUUGGAGGUUGGCUUAAAAGAUGUUCGCGCUGUGGGCAUCUGGGGCAUGGGCGGCAUCGGAAAGACGACUCUUGCCAAGGUCAUCUACAACAAACUUCUGGAUCAGUUUGAGUGUUGUUGCUUCCUCAAUGAUGUUCGGGAAAUCUCCGAAAAGAAGGGUCUCCCGUCCUUGCAAACAAAACUGGCCUCAGACAUCUUAAGGGGCAACCAUGAAGAAUUUGCUAAUGUUGACAGAGGAAUCAAUGUACUUAAGAAAAGGCUUCGCGACAGGAAGGCCCUCAUUCUUCUUGAUGACGUUGAUAACAUUAGCCAACUUAAAGCGCUAGCAUCAGAUCCUGGCUGGUUUGGUCCAGGAAGUCGGAUUAUUUUCACAACUAGAGAAAGGGAAGUUCUCAAUCUAUUUCAGAACUGCUCUAUUUAUGAAGCCGAACUAUUGAGUGAAGAUCAAGCUUUAGAACUCUUCUCUAAGCAUGCAUUUGGAGAUGCCUUGCCCUCGACUGAAUUUUACAAUCUGUCCUGCGGUAUCGUGAAGAGAACGGGAAGGCUUCCCCUGGCGCUUGAGGUCAUAGGUUCAUUUUUAUCCGCCUAUCGUGGAUGCAUGGACAUUUGGAAGGAUACAGUGGAGCAGUUGAAGAGAUCAGAGCCUAAAAUGGAUGUGCUAGAUAAUUUGAUGAUCAGUUACAAAUCGUUGGAAUACAAACAACAGCAGAUAUUUCUAGAUAUUGCAUGUUUUUUCUCCCGAGCAAAUGUUAGAGACCUGAUUCCCAUGUGGGAUGACUGUGGCUUUUCUCCAACAGUUGCGAUUGAAAUCCUCCAGCUAAAGUCUCUGAUUAAAAUCCGAGAUGGCAACACUCUUUGGAUGCACGAUCAGCUUGUAGACCUCGGGAGGAAUAUUGUGGAACAAGAAAACUACAAAGAACCGGAGCAACGAAGUAGGCUGUGGAGAAGUGAAGAAGCUAUUGAUGUAUUAAUCGGACAUCAGGGAAGCUCAAAAGUUGAAGCUGCUGCAAUUUCGACAUAUACAGGAAGAGUUACUUUCACGAAUGAAUGUUUUAAGAAUCUAUCAAAGCUAAGGGUUCUUCAGCUGCAUGGUGUUGAACUUGACGGAACCUUUCUGCAUUUUCUGCCAAAGCUGAGAUGGUUCAGAUGGCUGACGAUGAGCGCGUCUCUGCCGGCUAAUUUGCAUCUAAGUUAUUUAACUUCCCUUGAUCUAUCACACGGCAGAAUUGAUGGGGACUCGAUCAGUUGGAGCUCAAUCAAGAUGGGGAAGUUAAAAAUUCUUAAUCUAUCAUACUGCUGGAAACUCAAAAGAAGUCCUGAUUUUUCCGCAUUUCCAGCCUUGGAGAGAUUGAUUCUUCAAUCCUGCUAUCUUUUGGAAUUGGUUGACUCAUCAAUAGGGCUUCUCAAAGCUUUGAAACAUGUAGAUAUGAGGAAUUGCCGGAGACUAAGGAAGCUGCCAGAGCAGUUGGGUUCUUUGGAGUCAUUGACUGAGCUUCUCAUUGACGGAACUUCUAUAUAUAUAAUACCGAUAUCAAAAGGUAUGAAGAAACUUGAGAUUUUAUCUGCCAAUAAUUGCUGCUUCCUUAAUGGAAUUCCAGAGUCAGUUGGAUCCCUGAUAAAGCUAAAGCGGCUGUCACUAGCACAGUGUCGUGCUUUAACUAAACUCCCGGACUCCGUUGGGCAGUUAAGCUCCUUAGUAGAGCUGAACUUGGAGGGAUCUGGAGUAGCCCGUUUACCGAGGACUCUUGGAAAUUUAGAUAGGCUUGAAGUACUAGCCGUUGGCUGUGCUUCGAUGAGGAAAGUUCAAGACAAUCUCAGGGGCCUCUCGAAUUUAAGAAGGGAGAGAUCACACUUCAGAAGGGUUAAGAGCACUCCUGCAUACAUUAGUAGCUUUUCUCAUACUCAGAAAGGUGUUGGUGAUUUUUUUGGCCCAUAUAGUGAAAGAUCCCUGGGCUCCUCGAUGCUCACUUUCCUAGAUCUCUCGGGAUCGGUUGACUUAAAAGAAUUGUAUCUAUGUGGGGAUUUUCUUAAGGAAGAAUGCCUGGCUAAGCUAUGCAAAUUGGAGAUAUUGGUUUUGAUAUCAGUAAACAUCAGCACUGUUCCUAAAGAGAUUGGCGCCUUCUCUUCGCUGGAAAUAAUUAAUAUCUCUGCUUGCAAAGAACUCAAAUGCCUUCCUACCCUUCCUGCAAGUCUGCUUUCGCUCAAAGUUAUUCAGUGUCCAUUACUCGAGAGGUUUCCAAAUGUUUCCAACCUGAAGAAACUGAUGGAAUUACAUGUGCAUUCCUGCUUCAUCCUCAGGGAAAUCGCCGGCCUUGCCAAUCUAAUCUCCCUGUAUUCUCUGGAGAUACACGACUGCCCUAUAGCUAUGCUUGAUGGUCUUGAAAAUCUUGAAUCUUUAAAUAUAUUGUCUGUUACAUCCUGCAAUGUUGUAAGACUGCCAGAAUUGUCCAGGUCGAAGAAUUUGUGGCGCAUAUAUGCUUCGGAUAACAGGCAGCUAGUCGAGAUUCAAGGCCUUAACAAUUUGUGCAAGGUAAAAACUGUAGACCUCUCCAACUGCACAUCCCUAGGGCGAUUACCGAAAUUAUCUGACCUGGAGUCAUUGGAGAGGUUGGACAUCAGCAAUUGCAAGGCAAUUGAAAGCCUACCUGAUCUGGCAAGGUCGCAGAACCUAACAAAGUUGGAACUGAAAGCAUGCGAGAAGUUGUGCCAGCUUGAUGGACUGGAAGAAUUGAAGUGCCUGGAAGAACUGGAAAUAAUAGGGUGCAAUGCAAUUGAAAGCCUACCUGAUCUAUCAAGAUUGCAGAGGUUAAAGACUCUGAAAAUUGAAGCAUGUGAGAAGUUGAGCCAACUUUCGGGGCUCGGGGAAUUGAAAUCUCUGUUGGAGUUGGACAUAAGACGGUGCAUAUCAAUUGAGAGGCUACCUGAUCUGUCAAAGCCACAGAUAUUGUCAUUUCUGAACAUAGAAGCGUGUGAAAAGUUGUACGCAUUCGAGGGGCUUGGAUUAAAGUUACUGUACAAACUGGUCAUAAAGGAUUGCAAGGCAAUUGAAAGCCUACCUGAUCUGGCAAGGUUGCAGAAGAUAACAAAGUUGGAACUGAAAGCAUGCGAGAAGUUGUGCCAGCUUGAUGGACUGGAAGAAUUGAAGUCACUGGACAAACUGGUCAUAAAGGAUUGCAAGGCAAUUGAAAGCCUACCUGAUCUAUCAAGGUUGCAAGGGUUCUUUGCUCUGAGAAUAGAAGCAUGCGAGAAGUUGCACCGACUUAAUGGACUGGAAGAAUUGAAGUCCCUGGAAGAACUGGACAUAAUAGGGUGCAAGGCAAUUGAAAGCCUACCUGAUCUAUCAAGGUUGCAGAAGCUAGAAAGGUUGGAACUGAAAGCAUGCGAGAAGGUAUGCCAACUUGAUGGACUGGAAGAAUUGAAGUCCCUGGAAGAACUGGACAUAAUAGGGUGCAAUGCAAUUGAAAGCCUACCUGAUCUAUCAAGAUUGCAGAGGUUAAAGACUCUGAAAAUCGAAGCAUGUGAGAAGUUGAGCCAACUUUCGGGGCUCGGGGAACUGAAAUCUCUGUUGGAGUUGGACAUAAGACGGUGCAUAUCAGAAAAGUUGUACGCAUUCGAGGGGCUUGGAUUGGAGUCACUGUACAAACUGGUCAUAAAGGAUUGCAAGGCAAUUGAAAGCCUACCUGAUCUGUCAAGGUCGCAGAAGCUAGCAAAGUUGGAACUGAAAGCAUGCGAGAAGUUGUGCCAGCUUGAUGGACUGGAAGAAUUGAAGUCCCUGGAAGAACUGGACAUAACAGGGUGCAAUGCAAUUGAAAGCCUACCUGAUCUAUCAAGGUCGCAGAAGCUAGCAAAGUUGAAACUGAUAGCAUGCGAGAAGUUGUGCCAGCUUGAUGGACUGGAAGAAUUGAAGUCCCUGAAAAAACUGGACAUAACAGGGUGCAAUGCAAUUGAAAGCCUACCUGAUCUAUCAAGGUCGCAGAAGCUAGCAAAGUUGAAACUGAUAGCAUGCGAGAAGUUGUGCCAGCUUGAUGGACUGGAAGAAUUGAAGUCCCUGAAAAAACUGGACAUAACAGGGUGCAAUGCAAUUGAAAGCCUACCUGAUCUAUCAAGGUCGCAGAAGCUAGCAAAGUUGAAACUGAUAGCAUGCGAGAAGUUGUGCCAGCUUGAUGGACUGGAAGGAUUGAAGUCCCUGGAAGAACUGGACAUAACAGGGUGCAAUGCAAUUGAAAGCCUACCUGAUCUAUCAAGGUUGCAGAAGUUACGAGAUUUGGAACUGAAAGCAUGCGAGAAGGUACGCCAACUUGAUGGACUGGGACAAUUGGAGUCCCUGGUAAAACUGGACGUAGGGGGGUGCAAAGCAAUCGAGAGUCUACCGAAUCUGUCAAGGUUGCAGAGGCUAAGAGUGUUGAAAACAGAAGGAUGCGAGAAGUUGCGAUAACUUGAUGGACUGGAAGAACUGAAGUCACUGCUAGUGCUAGACAUCAGAGGGUGCAACUCAAAUUGAAAACAGAAGGAUGCGAGAAAUUAAUCUUUCCAUUUGCGAUAACAGGUUGUUCAAAAGACUGCUUCAACCUUUGCUCCAAGGGCUUCCACAGCCACGAAGAACCCUGCUGUGCCGGGGACUGCUCUGUAUACUGUGUUUGAGGUUCAAGGCUAUGCCUCGAUGCUGCUUGGUGGAGCUCUAUCUUUCAAUCGUCCGUUCCCAUCGAACGAACCAGACAUCUGGAGACUGAUGGGAAUGUGGUCUAUUUGGAUGUUCACAACUCCUUCACUUCGGGCCCAAGAUUGCUCAAAGAAUGAGAAAGAAGCUCUCAACUAUCUGUUUCUCCUCAUCCCUUUACUAAACGUUAUAAUCCCAUUCUUCUGGAAAUCUUUUGCAAUCGUGUGGUCAGCAGACGCCGUGGCCUUCUUUGGGAUGCAUGCAUGGAAGAUGGGGGUGGCUUCAAAGAACAGAGUAGGAGCUGAAAAUAUCUUUGUAUGGAUGCUGUCAGCGUCUUGUACAUUUAUUAUAUUACAGAUCCGGAAGUACAUAUACUAGCAAAAAAAAAAAAGAUUAAGUCACGUUUUUGCCUCAACAGACAUGGCAGAGCGAGUGUAAUUAAUCACAUUAUUUACAUUAGUUUCUUCAUUUUCUUAAAUCCUUAUGUCUUCUCAGAACAUCGCAUUGCUUGGUGGGCAUGCCACAUUCAACCCUGAACCAAAUUAUGAUCGAAAAGCUGAACUUAUAAGAACUGUGGUUUUCCCAA